CCUUGUGCCAUAGUCAGUCACACACUUUUGGUUUUUGAGAAAAACAAAAGAGCACUCUCUUCUCUCUAACCUCUGAUUACUUGGCUAGUAUCGGGUACCGGAGGAGAACAGUUCGGUGUGGACGAGUAGAGACUUUGCUAGGUUGCUCAGCUUGUGAUUGAAACUUCUCUUCCACAACUUGUAAGGUAACAACACUAUCACUGAUUCAUUGCUCUUUCGUAAUGAUCCAAGGAAAGGAAAUCAAUUUUUUUUAUAAAUUCCUCAGCUUCUGGUAUAUCGAUUUCCCUUCAUCAACCCGAAAGGGUAACUAUGGAUGUGAUUAUAGUGUGGGGUCUAGAACACGACACUGGAACCGUCUAGUGAAUCAUUGUUCACUAACUUGGAUUAGAAGAUUCACCAACAGGCAAUUGAAAAUAUGAUAGCAAAAAACUGUUGAUUCUUGGCAGAAGUGGAAAGAGAUUUUUCAACUGUUUUUUUUUUUCCUCUCAAAUGACCUAGAAGUAAAGGACAUGACAAUAUGACAUACUCAGUGUUAGAGAUGCUGAAGUGGGCCUUGAUGUGAAUGAUAAUAAGCCCAAAGUGUGGAGGGUUUAUAGGAGGAAGCGUGGUAAAGAUUUAAUAAAAGAUGCUGAGGUGGCAGCUAUGUGAGGGAUAGAAUCAGAGUUAGUUACUAUAUAUAAGAGGAGUAUUAGGAUUGGUGAGAAUCAUCUCUGAUUUUGCGUAAGAAAAAGAGAAUUAGGGUCACACUUUGUGAUUGGGAAGCCGUAGCGCUUUUUAGGGUUGAUAGCCGUCGCUAUCAGCACAUUCUAUUUUCCUUUGAUUGUAUUCCGUUCUUUUCACAGUAAUACAAAC
rnacentral:lncRNA from 1 species